rnacentral:rRNA from 1 species
CAGUCGCCACGGGAAUACGUAGGGUCCGAGCGUUGUCCGGAAUUAUUGGGCGUAAAGGGCUCGUAGGCGGUUUGUCGCGUCGGGAGUGAAAACCAGCAGCUUAACUGCUGGCCUGCUUUCGAUACGGGCAGACUUGAGGCAUUCAGGGGAGAACGGAAUUCCUGGUGUAGCGGUGAAAUGCGCAGAUAUCAGGAGGAACACCGGUGGCGAAGGCGGUUCUCUGGGAAUGUUCUGACGCUGAGGAGCGAAAGUGUGGGGAGCGAACAGGAUUAGAUACCCGCGUAGUCCCUGUCUCUUAUAC